GAAAACGUGAGCUCGGGCAUCUAAUUUCAAAUGUGGGGAGUACACCUUUUUAAGUUAGAUAUACUAGAGAAUUAGAGUGCUGAAAGAAUCAAUUUUCAAGUUGGUGAAUGCUGUAGCUUUUAUAUGGAGGUCGAUCAGUUUCAGAAAACCCGAGAUAAAUCAAGAGUUGGUUACAAAAGGCUGCACGGUGAGUCCUAUUCUCAUUAGUGGACUUCGUUAAUGCAGCCUUGGAAAUUUGUCAUACAAAUUGCAAAUGAUGUUUAAUGUCUACUAGCAUAGCAUCACACCAAGAACUUGUAGCUUGUUCUUUUGGUUAUCUUAUCCUCACAAUCUAGAGAGAAAUGAAGUCGCAUGACUUCUUUUUUGACAAGUAAAAUUCCCUGUACUUUCUUUUAUAUUAAUAGGCUAAAUGGAAUACAUGUUAUUUAUUUAUUUAAUUAAUUGAAAUCUAUAGGAACUUGUGAGUAUCACACUCAUCACCCCAUGCUAAGAGCGCACAAGAG
rnacentral:misc_RNA from 1 species